UUGCAUGCAUGAACUUGAAAU
rnacentral:miRNA from 1 species